rnacentral:rRNA from 1 species
GCCAGACUCCUACGGGAGGCAGCAGUGGGGAAUAUUGCACAAUGGGGGAAACCCUGAUGCAGCAACGCCGCGUGAGUGAAGAAGUAUUUCGGUAUGUAAAGCUCUAUCAGCAGGGAAGAAAAUGACGGUACCUGAGUAAGAAGCCCCGGCUAACUACGUGCCAGCAGCCGCGGUAAUACGUAGGGGGCAAGCGUUAUCCGGAUUUACUGGGUGUAAAGGGAGCGUAGACGGCGAUACAAGUCUGAAGUGAAAGCCCGGGGCUCAACCCCGGGACUGCUUUGGAAACUGUGUUGCUGGAGUGCUGGAGAGGCAAGCGGAAUUCCUAGUGUAGCGGUGAAAUGCGUAGAUAUUAGGAAGAACACCAGUGGCGAAGGCGGCCUGCUGGACAGUAACUGACGUUGAGGCUCGAAAGCGUGGGGAGCAAACAGGAUUAGAUACCCCCGUA